GCUUGACAUAUAGGAAAAGUGGCAGAGAUGUCAUGUCCGCAAGGGCUCUAUACAGGUGGUGCAUGGUUGUCGUCAGCUCGUGUCGUGAGAUGUUGGGUUAAGUCCCGCAACGAGCGCAACCCUCGUUCUGUGUUGCCAGCAUUUAGUUGGGGACUCACAGGAGACCUGCCGGGGUUAACUCGGAGGAAGGUGGGGAUGACGUCAAAUCAUCAUGCCCCUUAUGUCUUGGGCUGCACGCAUGCUACAAUGGCCGGUACAGAGGGCUGCAAUACCGUAAGGUGGAGCGAAUCCCAAAAAGCCGGUCUCAGUUCGGAUUGAGGUCUGCAUCUCGACCUCAUGAAGUUGGAGUUGCUAGUAAUCGUAGAUCAGCAACGCUACGGUGAAUACGUUCCCGGGGCUUGUACACACCGCCCGUCACGUCACGAAAGUCGGUAACACCCAAAGUCAGUGGCCCAACCGCAAGGGGGGAGCUGCCUAAGGUGGGAUCGGUGAUUGGGACGAGGUCGUAACAAGGUAGCCGUA
rnacentral:rRNA from 1 species